rnacentral:miRNA from 1 species
CCUGACCCACCCCCUCCCGCAG